AUGGUGGACGCGGGAGGCCGCCCCGCCGCCGAGGGCUGGCGGAGGAUGGAGGCCCCGCCGGACGGCGCUGACCUGGUGCCGCUGGACCGCUACGACGCGGCGCGGGCCAAGAUCGCCGCCAACCUGCAGUGGAUCUGCGCCAAGGCCUACGGGCUAGAUAACAUCCCCGAGGACCUCAGAGACCCCUUCUACAUUGACCAGUAUGAGCAGGAGCACAUUAAGCCACCUGUUAUCAAGCUGCUCCUGUCCAGUGAGCUGUACUGCCGUGUCUGCAGCCUCAUCCUGAAGGGGGACCAGGCAGCCACCUUGCAAGGACACCAAUCUGUCAUCCAGGCUCUGUCCCGAAAGGGCAUCUAUGUGAUGGAGAGUGACGACACCCCUGUGACAGACGCAGACCUGGGCCACGCACCCAUAAAGAUGAGCGCCCACAUGGCCAUGGUGGACGCCCUGAUGAUGGCCUACACCGUGGAGAUGAUCAGCAUCGAGAAGGUGGUGGCCAGCGUCAAGCGCUUCUCUACAUUCAGCGCCUCGAAAGAACUUCCCUACGACCUCGAGGAUGCCAUGGUGUUCUGGAUCAACAAGGUAAAUCUUAAAAUGAGAGAAAUAACAGAGAAGGAAGUUAAAUUAAAACAGCAAUUACUGGAAAGUCCAGCUCAUCAAAAGGUUCGCUAUCGGCGAGAGCACCUCUCGGCUCGGCAGGUGCCCUGCUUCCCGUUGCUGGAGGACUUGAUGCGAGAUGGCAGUGACGGGGCUGCUCUCUUGGCGGUUGUCCACUACUACUGCCCAGAACAGAUGAAGCUGGACGACAUUUGUCUAAAGGAGGUGCCGUCGCUGGCCGACAGCCUGUACAACAUCCGGCUGCUGAGGGAGUUCUCCAACCAGCACCUGAGCAAGUGCUUCUACCUCACCCUGGAAGACAUGCUCUACGCGCCCCUGGUGCUCAAGCCAAACCUCAUGGUCUUCAUUGCUGAGCUUUUCUGGUGGUUUGAAAAUGUCAAGCCAGACUUCGUCCAGCCCAGGGAUGUUCAGGAGCUGAAAGAUGCUAAAACGGCAUUGCAGCAGAAAAGUAGCCGGCCUCCUGUCCCCAUCUCCAAUGCAACCAAGCGCAGCUUCCUGGGCAGCCCUGCUGCACUGAGCCCCGCUGACCUGCCGCCACCUACUCAGCCACCAGCCGAAGGCGGGCAUAGGUACCACCUCCAUCCCGAAGAAGCUGAGUGUCUUGGGAAAGGAACUUCUGCCUUUAGCCCUUCCCAUCCUUUAUUGCCACUGAGGCAGAAGCAGCAGAAAGCAGUGCAGGCAGAGGACAGCCCUGACCAGCGACAUCGAUCUAACUCUUUAACCCGAGUCGAUGGCCAGCCACGAGGUACGGCAGUAGCGUGGCCAGAAAAAAAAGCCAGGCCAGUGUCCCAGCCAACACCCUUUGCUCUCCACCAUGCUGCGAGCUGUGACGUGGACCUUGGCUCUGGUGACAGCGUCAGCCUGGCGCGCUCUAUCAGCAAGGACAGCUUGGCAUCCAGCAUUGUUCAUCUGACCCCACAGAACCAGCCCUGCCCCACAGCUGGGAGGACCAAUGGGAGGAGCCUCCUGAGCAAUGUUAGUAUUGAGGAUGAGGAUGAGGAGCUGGUGGCCAUCAUCAGGACAGAUGUGUCUCCCCACUGUGUGGACCCGCAAGGCCCCAGGGCCUCGCCGCGGGCCCCAGGCCUAAUAGCAGGUGCCAGGUCUCCCCAGAGGCAGGUGGAUGCCCUAGAGAAUAAGCCUGACAGCUUUUUCUUGGAGCCCCUGCUGCCAGCAGUGCUGAGGCCGGCAAAAGAGAAGCAGACCACCACCAAGGAGGAUGAGCGAGGGGAAGGGAGACCUCGGAGCAUUGUGCCCAGGAGGCCCAGCGAGGGCCCUCAACCUGCUGCCCGGAAGAAGGCGACCGGCCGUCGUGACUUGAAUAGCACUUUCACCCCAAUUCCGUGCUCAGAGCUUGCUGCUAGCACUGACCCUGCAGAGCGGGGACUGCGGUCUGCAGAAGCUACAGAAGUGCAUGGGGGCGCUCUGGCCUUUGGCGGAUUGGAUCCGUUGUCUCAGGGACAGUCUGCUGAUGGCUUUUUCCUUCACCUAGGCAGGGCUGAUGGAGACACAGAGGGGAGGUUAUGUGUUGGCUCAAGAAGCCCUGGCACCCCCGAUGAGGAGCCCUGGGCUGUCCUGAGGCCAGAUUCUGACUCUGACGUGGGAGACCUAGAGGAAGUGGAACAGGAUUUCAUUGGCGAGGACCCUGCCGUGGUGAUUGCCAGGUACGCCGGUGAAGAGGAGUCAGCCAAGUUGCAGGAGGACAUGAAGGUGAAGGAGCAUGAGGACAAAGAUGAUGCUAGUGGCCGCUCGAGCCCAUGUCUGAGCACUGCCUCUCAGCUCAGCAGCGUAUCCAUGGCCAGUGGAAGCGUGAAGAUGACCAGCUUUGCUGAGAGGAAGCUCCAGAGACUCAAUAGCUGUGAAACCAAGUCCAGUACCAGCAGCUCCCAGAAGACCACACCGGACGCAUCGGAAAGCUGCCCAGCCCCUCUGACGACGUGGAGGCAGAAGAGAGAGCAGAGCCCAGGCAGGCACAGCCGGGACCCUGCCAGCCUCCUGGCGUCUGAGCUGGUGCAGCUGCACAUGCAGCUGGAGGAGAAGCGCAGGGCCAUAGAGACCCAGAAGAAGAGGAUGGAGGCCCUGUCUGCGCGGCAGCGCCUGAAGCUGGGCAAGGCCGCCUUCCUGCACGUGGUGAAGAAGGGGAAGGCUGAUGGUGCCCCUCAGCCACUGAGGCCAGAGCAUUUUGCAAAGGAGUAUGCUCAGCACAAUGGCGAGGACUUUGACAGUGGCAUUUCUAAGUCAGAAGCCUUCCUCGCCAAGGAAGAGCAGAGGGAAGAUCUCAGUGAGUCUCAGGACAUAGACAGAGAAAGCCUGGCUUUUGUCCAGCUUCAUAAGCCCAAAGACCUGACGGCUGUGCAUGACGGGGAGAAGGGCAGAGCGCUUUCUGCUGCUCUCCUGGAGGACGGCAUUGGCGAGGUGGGAGACCUGAGCGAAUGUGACCUUUCCAUUGAGAAGCUGAACGAGACCAUCAGCACGCUGCAGCAGGCCAUUCUGAAGAUCUCCCAGCAACAGGAGCAGCUCCUCAUGAAGUCCCCCACGGUACCAACGCCAGGCCCUAAAAAUAACUCUCAGGACCAAAAAGUAAAGACCUCAAUCCACUUCGUUGAGCCACUUUCUCCGACUGGGGUGUCUGGUCACCGCAAACCCCCCCGUCUGGGCCAGAGCCGGAGCUCCCGUUCAGGAAGACCAGCUGAGCUGAAGGUUCCAAAGGAUAGGCAGCAGGGCUCUUCUCGGAGCAAGACCCCAACACCCAGCGUGGAGACCCUCCCACAUCUUCGACCUUUCCCCUCUGGUGAUCACCCACGGACACCUCCCGACCCGGGCGUGGACAGUGCUGCAGCCCCCGGCAGCAACCCUCCUGAGAAGUGUCUCUUGGACAGUUACAGGCUUCAUGAUGAAAGCAACCAGCGGACAUUGGCUCUGUCCUCCUGCAAAGAGGCAAAUGUUCUGUCAGAACAGAUGAACUUCACAGAAGCUGUGGACACGAGUGGGAAAGAGGCAGGGCUGCACUCCUCCGACCCCGCAGGGAGCGACCACGUUCCUGGGGAAGAGCCACUGAGGAGCAAGGCCAGCCUCAUCGAGGUGGACCUGUCCCACCUACAGGCCCCCGAUGAGGACGGAGAGGGGGCUGGCCACACGGGCUCUGUGGACCUCCUCAGCGACAGUGACCAGAAGCCUGGGCUUGGCUUCUUCUUUAAGGUGCGCCUGGGCCAGGCAGUUCCGGGUGUUUCCUGUACUGUCACUGACCACCAGACGACGCCUGUGCAGGACGAACAGAAAGCAGAAGAUGAACUUGCCAAGAAGCGGGCGGCCUUCCUCUUGAAACAGCAGCGCAAGGCCGAGGAGGCUCGCGUGCGGAAACAGCAGCUGGAGGCAGAGGUGGAGCUCAAGCGGGAUGAAGCCCGGCGUAAAGCUGAGGAGGACCGCAUCCGGAAGGAGGAGGAGAAGGCACGGCGAGAGCUCAUUAAGCAGGAGUACUUGCGGAGGAAGCAGCAGCAGAUCCUAGAGGAGCAAGGGCUCGGCAAACCCAGGUCGAAGCCGAAAAAGCCGCGCCCAAAGUCCGUGCACCGGGAAGAGUCUUGCAGUGACUCUGGGACCAAGUGUUCCUCCACCCCGGAUAACCUGAGCCAGACUCAUUCCGGCUCCAGCCUGUCCUUGGCCUCUGCAGCGACCACGGAGCCCGAGAGCAUUCACUCAGGGGGCACACCUUCGCAGCGAGUGGAGUCCUUGGAAGCCUUGCCCAUUCUGAGCCGCAACCCAAGCAGGAGCACAGACCGGGACUGGGAAACGGCGUCGGCAGCUUCCUCCCUGGCCUCAGUGGCCGAGUACACAGGUCCCAAGCUCUUCAAGGAGCCCAGUAGCAAGUCCAACAAGCCCAUCAUCCACAACGCCAUCUCCCACUGCUGUCUGGCCGGGAAGGUGAACGAGCCUCACAAGAACUCCAUAUUGGAGGAGCUGGAGAAGUGUGACGCCAACCACUAUAUCAUUCUGUUCCGUGACGCCGGCUGCCAGUUCAGGGCGCUGUACUGCUACUACCCCGACACCGAGGAGAUCUGCAAGCUCACCGGCACGGGGCCCAGGAGCAUCACCAAGAAGAUGAUCGACAAGUUAUACAAAUACAGCUCAGACCGCAAACAGUUCAACCUGAUCCCAGCCAAGACCAUGUCCGUCAGCGUGGAUGCACUCACCAUCCAUAACCACUUGUGGCAGCCCAAGCGGCCCGCAGUGCCAAAGAAGAACCAGACUCGUAAGUGACCCCAGUGAAGCCCGGGGUCUGAGGACAUGCCGACGGGAUCCAUAGUUACUGUUCCGUCUACUGGGGUACGAAGCGUGCAGAGACACUGACCUUUUUUCAGAGGUGUUUAGACCACAACAGGAAGCCCUCUCUCGCCUCCUUGCACGCACAGGGCAUGCUGGGAGGGCCAGAGGGGGGCGUACGUGCCCUGUUUUCAGUGGCAGCUGCUGUGGUCCCUGCUGACCAACGCGGCCCUCAGAUGGGGACGUCGUGCGGCGAGGUCUCCAGUGUGCGUCCCCCUCGCUUGCCCCUCCACACGCUGCCUGCUGCCCUCCAGUUGGCCAGCGCAGGCGUGCUCUGCAGUCAGGUGUGUGAAUGUCUUCCUGAGAGGAGCUCGUGUGGAGUCUUUAUUUGAGAAGUUGUCUAUUUAUUGAUUGUUCUACUGCCAACAUCUACAUCCAGUCCCGAGAUGUCUGAACAAGUCCUUGUUCCUUGCUGCUCAGAGAAGCUUACUGAGGUUCCCAGUCCACUAAAGGCACUGAAAGCAGCAGUCAGUCUCUGCGGCACCCCUUUACAGGCGUGGAGAUGGCGACUGCGACAGGCGGCCGUGCGGAUGGCCGGUUAUUCCAGAACUCAAGUAAAGUGGAGUGGCUUUGGGUUCUUUCCACAUGGGUCCCAGUGGCGGCUGAUGCUUCUCCAGAGCAGACGUUCCUGGGGAGCAGGUGCAUCCCAGCCCCAGCCACGGCUUGUGCCACGCGGCAGAGACACCUGUGUGACGGACCAGCUGCCGGAAGAUCCUGGAGCCACUUAUGUUAGUUUUGCACAUAUUUUCUUGGGAGUGUUACUUGAAUCUAUCUUGAACUGCAGAAAAAAAUUGACGAUAAUAGAAGAAGUUAGAGACAGGUAUAACUGUCACACAGUGUUAGGUAGAAAGGUGACGGAGCUGUGUGCAGAGGAAGGAGGGGACAUGGUACGGGACAGGAGAGGGAAGCCCAGGCCUCCUUCAGUUUCCUCAUCCUUUGAAGAAGGAACAUGGCCUGCUCCGACUGUGUAAAUAUCGUGCCGGGCCCUGCGCUGCUGUGGAGUGACCGCAGCCCGUGCCGAGAUUAAAGUCUGGACGUCUGUCAA